AUGAUCGAUGCGGGAGAGCUCCGGCGAACGCAGCCGGGCACCGAAGGAGCAAGCCUCCCCGCCAAUCUCUCAGGUACGCGUACCGCGUCGAUCGG
rfam:Microbacterium testaceum StLB037 DNA, complete genome.